rnacentral:rRNA from 1 species
AACGAACGCUGGCGGCAGGCCUAACACAUGCAAGUCGAGCGCCCCGCAAGGGGAGCGGCGCACGGGUGAGUAACGCGUGGGAACGUGCCUUUCGGUUCGGAACAACUCAGGGAAACUUGAGCUAACGCCGGAUACGCCCUUCGGGGGAAAGUUUAUCGCCGAAAGAUCGGCCCGCGUUGGAUUAGCUAGUUGGCGGGGUAAAGGCCCACCAAGGCGACGAUCCAUAGCUGGUCUGAGAGGAUGAUCAGCCACACUGGGACUGAGACACGGCCCAGACUCCUACGGGAGGCAGCAGUGGGGAAUUUUGGACAAUGGGCGCAAGCCUGAUCCAGCCAUGCCGCGUGAGUGAAGAAGGUCUUCGGAUUGUAAAACUCUUUCGUUGGGGACGAUAAUGACUGUACCCAAAGAAGAAGCCCCGGCUAACUUCGUGCCAGCCGCCGCGGUAA